rnacentral:rRNA from 1 species
GGGCCCGCACAAGCGGUGGAGCAUGUGGUUUAAUUCGAUGCAACGCGAAGAACCUUACCAGGCCUUGACAUCCUCGGAACUUUCCAGAAAUGGAUUGGUGCCUUCGGGAACCGAGUGACAGGUGCUGCAUGGCUGUCGUCAGCUCGUGUCGUGAGAUGUUGGGUUAAGUCCCGUAACGAGCGCAACCCUUGUCCUUAGUUGCCAGCACGUAAUGGUGGGAACUCUAACGGGACUGCCGGUGCAAACCGCGAGGAAGGUGGGGAUGACGUCAAAUCAUCACGGCCCUUACGUCCUGGGCUACACACGUGCUACAAUGGCCGGUACAGAGGGCAGCCACACCGCAAGGUGGAGCG